rnacentral:lncRNA from 1 species
GUCAGUCACUUCUAUCCCCACUUCGGAAGCUCUUCACGGCUCUAUAGGAGCCCUCUGGCUGAGUGUCCUUGGGCGAGUCAACUCUCCAAGCUUCAGUUUACCCGUCUGAAAUAUGGGAAUAAUAAUAGUGCUUUGUGAAGAGGAAAUGAUGGCAUGGAAAGCGCUUGACACAGAGCCUGACAAAUAGUGUCUAAUAACGUUAAUGGAGGCGUUAGGUUGUUUACUCCCUAUCUUUGCCACUAGAUUGUGGACUCCAUAAGGAAGGAGAAUUUAUCCAUCUUGUUCGCCGCUGUUUCCUCAGCACAUAGCACAGUGCCUGGCACAGAGUAGGUGCCCAAUUUGCCUAUUCUGGAUAUUUCAUAUACAUGGAAUCACACAAUACAUGACCUUUUGUGUCUAGCUUCUUUCACUUCACGUACUGUCUUCAAGGUUCAUCUGUGUUGUAGCAUGUGGGCUGGCCCAUCAGUGCAGCAGUUAAGUGCACAUGUUCUGCUUCGGUGGCCCAGGGUUUGCUGGUUCGGAUCCUGAUUGCGGAUAUGGCACCACUUGGCAAGCCACGCUGUGAAAGGAAAUGAUCCCAAGGAGCCAUGUGAUGCCCCCAAAGCAUGCUGAAUGGAAGGUCCUGUAACUCCACAGAGUCUAGGAGAGUUGGUACGACCACAGACAUGGCUCAAGCACCUAAAGCUGUCAGAGCAAGGAUAUUCAAAGUUGCAUUGGAAACCACCCAAAUAUCCACUAAUAGGAAACUGGUUAAAUCCUUCAAUGAACUAUGAUACAUCAUUAUAAAUAAUUAGGUAGAUCCAUAUAUAUUGAUAUUGACAUGAAAAAAUGCCCACGUUAUAUUGGUAGUAAAGUAAUGCUAUAAGUAAAAAAAAAAAGGGAGGGUGUUAUAGACAGUGUGAAUAAUAUAAUCCCAUUUUUAUUUUUAAAUGGAAUGUUAUAGCUACAUAAAAAAGGAGUUAGAGGAGUAUAUACUACAUUAUUGAUAGUGAGAUUUUUCGAAAGUUGA